rnacentral:lncRNA from 1 species
CACGGGGGAAAGAAGAAUGUCAGCAAGUGUGGCUUUGGAUUACGAGGCGGUUUCUUUUUUUUUUUUUAAUUUUUUUUAACGUUUUAUUUAUUUUUGAGACAGAGAGACACAGAGCAUGAACGGGGGAGGGGCCGAGAGAGAGGGAGACACAGAUUCGGAAACAGGCUCCAGGCUCUGAGCCAUCAGCCCAGAGCCCGACGCAGGGCUCGAACUCACGGACCGCGAGAUAGUGACCUGAGCUGAAGUCAGACGCUUAACCGACUGAGCCACCCAGGCGCCCGGAGGCGGUUUCUUAAGGGGAGGCUGUGUGGGUAUGAACAGCUCCUGAGUUGCCUUCGGAGGCGGACUGACGCCCGCCUCCGUGCGCUGCCGGGCAGAGCCGGGCCGGGGCUGCUUGGUGUCCCGAGGACGGCGAGUCUCUACUCUUUUCUCGCCACACGCCCCCCUCGGCUGACCUGGACGCGUCCCACUUGGGUGGUCCCGGCGUGCGGAAAGGGUGUCGUUCACCUGCAACUGCUUUGUGACGGAGCGUUCCUCCCCGUGACGAACCUUGGUGGCGUUUGGCAGGACGAGCAGCACGGGUGGCCCUGCCUUUCAGGCACCCACGUGCCAGGAAACAGCAGAGACAAAAGAGAAAACUCUGUAACCAUUGGCCUCCACCCAGGAACCUGGAAGAAAAUGAAGCAAGACAAACAACAGAGAAAUGUGAACAGCAAAAGAGCGAACUCAGAUGCAUUAAAUGGCUUAACAGUCUUAUGCUACAGCCCCAGCAGCUCCCAGCAGCUGCCCUGGCUCCCGGUCAGUGGUCCAAAGUAUUUCUGAGUGAAAGAAGGCCGCCCUCCCUUGUUUACCAAAUAGCUUCAGACACUUGGCAUCGAAUUUCCACUACAGGCCUAAGAGGUAGGUAUUAGCAUUUUCAUUUCACAGGCGAUAAAUCCGAG